UGUUAUCGCUAAUGAACCAGGUAAACGACCCUGUAAAACGACCAGCAUGGCAGCAUUGUCGCAUUGACAUUCACUGUCUUUCCUCCGUCGUAGCAAGACCCACCCGGGCAGACUUGCGCGAUUAAGGAAGGCAUCUGAUGUCUAAAUUUUUUGUCAGAGAUUUUUGAUUUUUAGCAUAUUAUGUUGCCUGCACAUUAUAUCGCUUUUACUCAAAUUAUUAAAUAGUGAUUUUAUUCAUACCUAUUCGUAGCUCUAACAUUUCCUUAGCUCAAGCUCUUGUAUGCACAAACAAAAUUCGACCUUGGCUUUGUUCCGUGGUUUAUAUAAGUCUGGCACAGUUCGGCCGCAAGACUGCCAGUGUUUAGUGAGUUGCGGUUGCGGGAACACUGAUCGUCACCGUUCCGUUUCAAAUAAAUAGAAGGGGUGCGCUAAAAAAAAAAAUGAAAAAGAAAGCGGACUCCGUCCCCCCACGUCCACCCACAAUUCAAGCACUGGUUAAACGUUUUCGUGGGUCCAGUGCUACUGACAUCCGUAUUCCUAGAUUUAUCAUUCAAUUAACACAGACCCGAAAUAGUUUUAUGACCUCGUGAUACACUUCAACAAGUUCAACAAUUCACGUACACAAUAGAUCAUAGAUCUGUCACCACCGAUAGAGAAAUUUGCAAAUAUAAAACAAAAAUGAAAUCAAUAUGAUAAACUAACAAUUAUCAUAAAGUAUGACACGCGGUCAACAAUCAUUAUUGACGUUUGGAAUGUAACGACGCACAUGUGUGA